CACGUAGGGGACGAGCGUUGUCCGGAUUCAUUGGACGUAAAGCGCGUGUAGGCGGUCCGGUAAGUCCGCUGUGAAAGUCGGGGGCUCAACCCUCGGAUGCCGGUGGAUACUGUCGGGCUUGAGUACGGAAGAGGCGAGUGGAAUUCCUGGUGUAGCGGUGAAAUGCGCAGAUAUCAGGAGGAACACCAAUUGCGAAGGCAGCUCGCUGGGACGUUACUGACGCUGAGACGCGAAAGCGUGGGGAGCAAACAGG
rnacentral:rRNA from 1 species